CAAUAGCGUAUAUUAAAGUUGUUGCAGUUAGAACGCUCGUAGUCGGAUUUCGGGGCGGGCCGACCGGUCUGCCGAUGGGUAUGCACUGGUCGGCGCGUCCUUCCUUCCGGAGACCGUCCCUACUCUUAACUGAGCGGGGGCGGGAGACGGGACUUUUACUUUGAAAAAAUCAGAGUGUUUCAAGCAGGCAGCUCGCUCUUGCAUGGAUUAGCAUGGGAUAAUGAAAUAGGACUUUGGUGCUAUUUUGUUGGUUUCGAACACCGAAGUAAUGAUGAGAAGGGACAGUCAGGGGCACUCGUAUUCCGCCGAGAGAGGUGAAAUUCUCAGACCAGUGGAAGACGAACCACUGCGAAAGCAUUUGCCAGGGAUGUUUUCACUGA
rnacentral:rRNA from 1 species